rnacentral:rRNA from 1 species
UACGUAGGGUGCGAGCGUUAAUCGGAAUUACUGGGCGUAAAGCGUGCGCAGGCGGUUUUGUAAGCCAGAUGUGAAAUCCCCGGGCUCAACCUGGGAAUGGCAUUUGGGACUGCAAGGCUGGAGUACGGCAGAGGAGACUGGAAUUCCUGGUGUAGCAGUGAAAUGCGUAGAGAUCAGGAGGAAUACCGAUGGCGAAGGCAGGUCUCUGGGCUGAUACUGACGCUCAUGCACGAAAGCUAGGGGAGCAAACAGG